GAUGAACGCUGGCGGCGUGCUUAACACAUGCAAGUCGAACGGAAAGGCCCUGCUUUUGUGGCUUUCUCGUUUGCCGCACGGGUGAGUAUCACGUGUGUAACCUGCCCUUGACUUUGUGAUAACUUCAGGGAACUCCGGCUCUUAUCCGAUAUGAUCUUCUGCUGCGUGUGGUUGAUUAGAAAGAGGCGGCGGUUGGGGAUGGACUCGCUGCUUAUCCGCUUGUUUGGGUGGUAGUUGCUUACCAAGGCUUUGACGGGUAGCCUGCCUGAGAGGGUGACCGGCAACAUUGGGACUGAGAUACGGCCCAGACGCCUACGGGAGGCAGCAGUGGGGAAUAUUGCACAAUGGGCGGAAGCCUGAUGCAGCAACGCCGCGUGCGGGAUGACGGCCUUCGGGUUGUAAACCGCUUUCGCCUGUGACGAAGCGUGAGUGACGGUAAUGGGUAAAGAAGCACCGGCUAACUACGUG
rnacentral:rRNA from 1 species